rnacentral:rRNA from 1 species
AUUGAACGCUGGCGGCAUGCCCUACACAUGCAAGUCGAACGGUAACAGGUCUUCGGAUGCUGACGAGUGGCGAACGGGUGAGUAAUACAUCGGAACGUGCCUAGUAGUGGGGGAUAACUACUCGAAAGAGUGGCUAAUACCGCAUGAGAUCUACGGAUGAAAGCAGGGGAUCGCAAGACCUUGUGCUACUAGAGCGGCCGAUGGCAGAUUAGGUAGUUGGUGGGAUAAAAGCUUACCAAGCCGACGAUCUGUAGCUGGUCUGAGAGGACGGUCAGCCACACUGGGACUGAGACACGGCCCAGACUCCUACGGGAGGCAGCAGUGGGGAAUUUUGGACAAUGGGCGAAAGCCUGAUCCAGCAAUGCCGCGUGCAGGAUGAAGGCCUUCGGGUUGUAAACUGCUUUUGUACGGAACGAAAAGCCCCGGGUUAAUACCCUGGGGUCAUGACGGUACCGUAAGAAUAAGCACCGGCUAACUACGUGCCAGCCGCCGCGGUAA